GUCUAUGGCCAUGCCACCCUGAACAAGCCCGAUCUCAUCUGAUCUUGGAAGUAAGCAGGGUCGGGCCUGGUAAGUACUUGGAUGGGAGACCACCUAGGAAGACUAGGUGCUGUAGGUG
rnacentral:rRNA from 1 species